rnacentral:rRNA from 1 species
AUUGAACGCUGGCGGCAGGCCUAACACAUGCAAGUCGAGCGGAUGAAGGGAGCUUGCUCCUGGAUUCAGCGGCGGACGGGUGAGUAAUGCCUAGGAAUCUGCCUGGUAGUGGGGGAUAACGUCCGGAAACGGGCGCUAAUACCGCAUACGUCCUGAGGGAGAAAGUGGGGGAUCUUCGGACCUCACGCUAUCAGAUGAGCCUAGGUCGGAUUAGCUAGUUGGUGGGGUAAAGGCCUACCAAGGCGACGAUCCGUAACUGGUCUGAGAGGAUGAUCAGUCACACUGGAACUGAGACACGGUCCAGACUCCUACGGGAGGCAGCAGUGGGGAAUAUUGGACAAUGGGCGAAAGCCUGAUCCAGCCAUGCCGCGGGUGUGAAGAAGGUCUUCGGAUUGUAAAGCACUUUAAGUUGGGAGGAAGGGCAGUAAGUUAAUACCUUGCUGUUUUGACGGUACCAACAGAAUAAGCACCGGCUAACUUCGUG